GGGUUAAUGAGCAGCGAAGCAGAUAGGUUCCAGAUUACAGAGAUAUAAUUGUUUCUAUUUUGUUCACAGUCCUGGCAAAUUCAGUCCACUUUCAGGGAUGGCUGUUUUUCAACUUGAGGGGCUCAGAAAACGUAGCAUACGCACGUCUGCGGGAGCACUUACCAGUGGCGAGAGAUCCUUCUGGGGAGCAGAAGUCUCCAUUGGCGGGGUAUCGUAUGACUUCAGCUCGAUGCCGGCAGGUAACGAGGUCUGGUUCGUUGCCACUGGCGAAAUGGAUUGCCCACUCAUGUGAGGACGAGCCCUGGAUCGCCCGCCUUGCUUCGUAUCAAUCACCGCUUUCGGCACGCUCUCCGCUAACAACGUGUUCCCAUACCGCUGUUCAGUAAUCACAGCACUGGCCUGUUCACCCAGCCUGGCCUCGGCACCCUGUAAACAACACGUGACGGAUCAUAACCCACUCUCACAAUAACCGCAAUGUGGCUGGAUUAGGAGACCAUUUCGAGGACUUCCGGCCACCAUGGUCCUCCACUGACCCAGGAACAUCGCACCGCGUUGAUAAGGGAAGCAGUCCUGAGAAAACUGUGCCCAUGUCGGGAACAGACAAAUGUGUCCUGCCCUGGGGUCUUUUGCAUUCGUGGUGCAAGAGUGAGAUCCGGAAGACAUUAAAAACAUCGAGUCACGCAGGUUUACGCUUGGGGUUUUAAGGGAUGUUUGGGUUUCUUCGGGGAACGCACUGGGGAAGAUGGGGGCCACAGGUCACUUCUGUCUCACCGCCCGCGUGUCGGCGCUGGAGCGGUGCACACACUGGGCAGAACGGGCAGCGGGUGUUCGAUGUGAUCUGCCUCUGUCUCUAUGUAACUACACUGAUUCUCCUGUGCUCUGAUUACGGGAAAGGGUUAAAAUUUUCCGGUUUUCACUUUCUCUGAUAUCGGUACUGACUAUACACUAUGCCGCUGAUCGCUG